CCCCAGUCCUUUCAAGAUCGGACCCAACACCAACUGCAGCAAAGUCUACUGAGGCAUCCAGCUUACAAUUAUUAUAAUAUCGCGGUAUCUACUUGGCUUUAAUUCCCACAGCAUGAAUAAAGGCAUCUUUAAUUGAA